UACGUAGGGGACGAGCGUUGUCCGGAAUUACUGGGCGUAAAGGGCGCGCAGGCUGUAGAUCAAGUCAGCUGUGAAAUGUCUGGGCUUAACCCGGGCAUGCGGUUGAAACUGAUGUACUGGAGUGCUGUAGAGGCAAGUGGAAUUCCCAGUGUAGCGGUGAAAUGCGUAGAUAUUGGGAAGAACACCGGUGGCGAAGGCGACUUGCUGGGCAGCAACUGACGCUGAGGCGCGAAAGCCAGGGGAGCAAACGGGAUUAGAUACCC
rnacentral:rRNA from 1 species